AUAAUUUAGAAAGAAAAUACAUUUAAAGACUUAUGGGACAAGUGGCAAAGUAGAACCCUAAUCUAAAAUGCUAGUAGCCUUUCGGCUCUCUUAUUCCAAUAGGUCUGGUGCCCGGAGAGCGAAGCUCAACUAUGGUCCUUACAUCCAGCCUGGAUACUUGAUUCCCAAUUAAGCCGGCGCCUAGAGAGCAUUGCUCGACCAGGGACCUUUCUCCGACAGUCAAGCUUUCAUAGCCCAGAGAGUUAUACUCGACCGGGAUAAAAUCCAAAAAUAACCUUUAUUACCUGCCUCUGAUUAUUACCAGUGUGCACGCCGUCCUUAUGUAACUCAUCAGGUGGCAUGUUCUACUGUCGCCUCAUCCGAAUGUCACAUUCACUACAUUUAUAAAAAUCAUAAAUAGAAUAAUCACAGACCAACAUAAUUUAUUCAAUAACAUAAUGAGAAUUAAAAAUUUAGAAAUCUUAGGAAUAGCAACAAGC
rnacentral:lncRNA from 1 species